CCUAAGUUCUCAAAUGCCCUUGUUUAUCUCUCUAUCAGAUGUCAAGCACAAUAGACAUACAUUAUCAGAGAAGAAACUUCUACGGUGAAGACGAAGCCCUAGAGCUCAAUUCGCCUCAAUUGUCAAGCUCGUGAAGGUCGCUGUCUCCAACGGUGAAGAGGGUGAAUAUCAAAUUCUAGAUCCGUCAAAGCCAAGCUGAGCUCUAAUGGAAGGAGCUAGAUGCAGGCACUAUGAAGUUCCUAAAGCACAAGAUAACAAGAAGAUUAUGUCUGCAAUAUGGCCCCAAUGACUGGUGAACAUGUGAAACACACACUUCAGCAACACCUAUUUAGGAGCACAAUAUUAUUGGUAUCACAGUGAAGCCACGUGGACAUGUUAUUGAAGUCGGGAUGCAGUGGACCGUUGGAUGAGCCUACAAAUGGAUGGACAACAAUGACCUAAGCUCUUGGAAUUAGUUUUCUUAGGGGGUGUUUGUUUCAAGUUUUUGAAGAGGAUUACCGGGAAUCCUUCUUUGGUAAAUGUAAUUACCACGUUUGGUAGAAGGAAUAAAUUACGAUUCCCGGAUAUCCAAGGAUUACCGGUAAUUUGAUUUAUAAAGAAAAGUCACUAUUCAGAUUACCAAAAAUAAUAUGGUAAUUCGGAAUACCAAUCAGAAUACCAAGCAAAAGGGAAAGCACAACAAUAAAUUUUGAGACAAAAAUACUCCAAUACACAUAAAAAUCUAGACCCAAUCUAUCAAUUACAAAAGUAAAAAUAGUUUGGGGUUAUUUUUGUAAAAUAACCUCAUAUUCCAAGUCAUAUUUCGUUCUAAACCAAAUAUGGAAUUAGUAAUUUUUACUCAAUAUUCCCGGUAAUAUUUUGGCGAACCAAACACCUCUUUCGUGAGAUUCCAAGUAAACUCAAUUUUUACUGAA